rnacentral:lncRNA from 1 species
UGUAUCUCACACCCUUAUGCCUUAAUUAGCAUUUGAGAUGUCACAAUGUUAAUGCCCCUUAGGUUUAAAAUUUUAAAUUGCAUUUGUGUCCCCAAAUUUUUGUCAUUUUUUCCUUCGAGCUCCACUCUUCCAUCGAGUCCAAGUAUCAAAAAAUUCAAAAUCCUAAAUACAAAUCUUUUUACUAUCUUCAGAAUUAAUAACGCUUAAGAACAAUUAUCACUUAAAGAUGUGCUAAAUUCAUGUAACAUAAAAAAGAAAGUGUCAAUAAU